rnacentral:rRNA from 1 species
GAUGAACGCUGGCGGCGUGCCUAAUACAUGCAAGUCGAGCGAACAGACGAGGAGCUUGCUCCUCUGACGUUAGCGGCGGACGGGUGAGUAACACGUGGAUAACCUACCUAUAAGACUGGGAUAACUUCGGGAAACCGGAGCUAAUACCGGAUAAUAUAUUGAACCGCAUGGUUCAAUAGUGAAAGACGGUUUUGCUGUCACUUAUAGAUGGAUCCGCGCCGCAUUAGCUAGUUGGUAAGGUAACGGCUUACCAAGGCAACGAUGCGUAGCCGACCUGAGAGGGUGAUCGGCCACACUGGAACUGAGACACGGUCCAGACUCCUACGGGAGGCAGCAGUAGGGAAUCUUCCGCAGUGGGCGAAAGCCUGACGGAGCAACGCCGCGUGAGUGAUGAAGGUCUUCGGAUCGUAAAACUCUGUUAUUAGGGGAGAACAAAUGUGUAAGUAACUAUGCACGUCUUGACGGUACCUAAUCAGAAAGCCACGGCUAACUACGUG